rnacentral:tRNA from 1 species
GGGGUUGUGGCUCAGGGGUAGAGCACUUGCCUCUCAAGCAUGAGGCACUGGGUUCUAUCCUCAACACCA